rnacentral:lncRNA from 10 species
CUCUGUGUAAAAACAAACAAAUAAAUAAAAAAGUUAAAAGAAAACUCAGUUUUUUCCAUUAAAACAAUAAAAGCUGGGUACGGUGGUUCCUGACUGCAAUCACAGCACUUUGGAAGGCUGAGGUGGCCGGACUGCCUGAGCUCAGGAGUUGGAGACCAGACUGGGCAACAUGGUGAAACCCCCAUCUCUACAAAAAAUACAAAAAUUAGCCAGGCACGGUGGCAUGUGCCUGUGGUCCCAGCGACUGAGGAGGCUUAGGCAGAAGGAUCCCUUGAGCACAGGAGUUUGAGGUUAUAGUGAGCUAACUGCACCACUGCACUUCAGCCUGGGCAACAGAGCAAGACCCUGUCUCAAAAACAAACAAACAAAACAAAAGUAAACAAAGUAUGAAAAUUCUCUUAGUUUUUAUCUUGUUUUUGAGAUAGUGUUUCACUCUGUGACCCAGGCUGGAGUCCAGAUCACAGCUCACUGCAGCCUUGAAAUUCUGGGUUCAAGCUAUCCUCCUGCCUCAGUCUCCCAAGUAGCUGGGACUACAGACACAGAGCACCACACCCAACUAAUGUUUUUAUUUCUGUUUUUAGUAGAGACGAGAUCUCGCUAUGUUUCUCAGGCUGGUUUCAAACUCCUGGGCUCAAGUGAUCCUCCCACCUUAGCCUCAGAAAGUGCAGGGAUUACAAGUGUCAGCCAUUGUGUCCAGCUAAAAAUUCUUAAUUUGAAAGUAAAUUCUUCCCUGCCUGAAAAAAAAAGUUUCUCUUUGUAGGAUGCUGAGGAUCAUGCCCUCUGUAAUGUGUGGUCUUACUCAAGGUUCACUGGUUUCCAGCUUUUGUGACUUCAUGAAAUUUUUAUUUUUAAAUAUUUCAAUAAAGUUUUUGAAAAAGUAAUAUGUGCACAUGGUUAAAAAUUCAAACAACAUGAAGGAUAAAUGAUGAAGAGUUCUUCCACUCUGAUUCCCAGUUCCAUUCCCCAGACAUGAGUUACCAAUUCCUUGUGUCUCCAUCCAGAAAUAUCCUAUUCUUUUUUUUUUUUUUUUUUUUUUUUUUUUUGAGACAGUCUCGCUCUGUCACCCAGGCUGAAGCGCAAUGGCGCAAUCUUGGCUCACUGCAACCUCUGCUUCCCAGGUUCAAGCAAUUCUCCUGUCUCAGCCGCCUGAGUAGCUAGGACUGCAGGCACCCACCACCACGUCCGGCUAAUUUUUGUAUUUUCAGUAGAGAUGGGGUUUCACCAUAUUGGUCAGGCUGGUCUCAAACUCCUGACCUCAGGUGAUUCACCCACCUCAGCCUCCCAAAGUGCUGGGAUUACAGGCGUGAGCCACCGCGCCUGGCUAAUAUUCUAUUCUUAUUAAAGUGUAUACAUGUACACACACGUCUCCUUGUUUUACACAAUGGGAACAAUCUCUUCACAUAUUUCUGUACCUUGCUUUAUUCUCUUAACAGUAUAUUUACAAGAUGAUAGAGAGGGAAAAAAGGAAAAAAAAAAACCAGUGUAUUUAUCAGCACAAAUAAGAGUGGCUGCUUCUAUCAUGACCUCGAAGUAGGCACUGGAUGCAACUUUUUUGAUGUCUGCUUUUCUGAUAGAUGAAAAAUGGUAUUUUAUUAAUGUUUGAAUUUGCAUGUCUUACGGAGUCUUGCUGUGUUGCCCAGUCUGGAGUGCAGUGGCGUGAUCUUGGCUCACCAGAACCUCCGCCUCCCUCAUUCAAGCGAUUCUUCUGCCUCAGCCUCCUGAAAAGCUGUGAUUACAGGCAUGCGCCACCACGCCCCGCUAAUUUUUGUAUUUUUAGAAGAGACGGGGUUUCACCAUGUUGACCAGGCUGGUCUCAAACUCCCGGCCUCAGGUGAUCCACCUGCCUCGGCCUCCCAAAGUGCUGGAAUUACAGGUGGGAGCCAUAGGCCCGGCCUGAAUUUGCAUGUCUUCAAUUGUGAAUGAAGUUAAACAUUUUUCACAUGCUUAUUAGUCAUUUGUGGAUUUCUCUUCUUGUGUCCUGUUUAUGUCCUUUGCCCAGAUUUCUAAUGGGUUGUUAGGUAACUUACUGUGCGAGACCGUUCUCCAUGGGUCUCACAUUUCUUUUUUUUUUU